GAGACAUGUGAAACAUAAAUUCAUCUCCUCCCAUCUCUAGGACUUGGAAAGUUCUUUGCAAUUACGUGCAGAUGGCUUUCUCCAGCUCAUGGUGGAAUGCGCAAACGCCAUUGAUGCAGUAACUAUUGUGGUCUUCCAGGCAAGGAUGUGAGAACUUCAAGGCUAUGGGUCCUUCUGUGGAGUCAACUAGGAAAAGCACAUACAAUGUUAACAGAUGAAGUGGGUCAUACUUUUAUAGUAUAUUUGUUACACACAGGAGUCCGCACUUAGGAAAUUUGGGUUUACAGAGAUCAUGAACUUGAGAAGACGACCUCUCCCGUGGACUACCACUU